rnacentral:rRNA from 1 species
AGCGAACGCUGGCGGCAGGCUUAACACAUGCAAGUCGAGCGGGCGCUUCGGUGUCAGCGGCAGACGGGUGAGUAACACGUGGGAACGUACCCUUUGGUUCGGAAUAACGCUGGGAAACUAGCGCUAAUACCGGAUACGCCCUUUUGGGGAAAGGCUUGCUGCCGAAGGAUCGGCCCGCGUCUGAUUAGCUAGUUGGUGGGGUAAUGGCCUACCAAGGCGACGAUCAGUAGCUGGUCUGAGAGGAUGAUCAGCCACACUGGGACUGAGACACGGCCCAGACUCCUACGGGAGGCAGCAGUGGGGAAUAUUGGACAAUGGGCGCAAGCCUGAUCCAGCCAUGCCGCGUGAGUGAUGAAGGCCUUAGGGUUGUAAAGCUCUUUUGUCCGGGACGAUAAUGACGGUACCGGAAGAAUAAGCCCCGGCUAACUUCGUG